GUGGGGAAUCUUCCGCAAUGGACGAAAGUCUGACGGAGCAACGCCGCGUGAACGAUGACGGCCUUCGGGUUGUAAAGUUCUGUUAUACGGGACGAAUGGUACGACGGUCAAUACCCGUCGUAAGUGACGGUACCGUAAGAGAAAGCCACGGCUAACUACGUGCCAGCAGCCGCGGUAAUACGUAGGUGGCAAGCGUUGUCCGGAAUUAUUGGGCGUAAAGGGCGCGCAGGCGGCGUCGUAAGUCGGUCUUAAAAGUGCGGGGCUUAACCCCGUGAGGGGACCGAAACUGCGAUGCUAGAGUAUCGGAGAGGAAAGCGGAAUUCCUAGUGUAGCGGUGAAAUGCGUAGAUAUUAGGAGGAACACCAGUGGCGAAAGCGGCUUUCUGGACGACAACUGACGCUGAGGCGCGAAAGCCAGGGGAGCAAACGGGAUUAGAUACCCCGGUAGUCC
rnacentral:rRNA from 1 species